rnacentral:rRNA from 1 species
AAUCAACGCUGGCGGCGUGCCUAACACAUGCAAGUCGCACGAGAAAGGGGAGCAAUCCCUGAGUAAAGUGGCGCACGGGUGAGUAACACGUGAAUCAUCUACCUCCGAGUGGGGAAUAACUGAGAGAAAUCUUAGCUAAUACCGCAUAACACUUACGAGUCAAAGCAGCAAUGCGCUUGGAGAGGAGUUCGCGGCCGAUUAGUUAGUUGGCGGGGUAAUGGCCCACCAAGACGAUGAUCGGUAUCCGGCCUGAGAGGGCGCGCGGACACACUGGAACUGAAACACGGUCCAGACUCCUACGGGAGGCAGCAGUGGGGAAUUUUGCGCAAGUGGGGGAAACCCUGACGCAGCAACGCCGCGUGGAGGAUGAAGUAUCUUGGUACGUAAACUCCUUUCGAUUGGGAAGAUAAUGACGGUACCAAUAGAAGAAGCCCCGGCUAACUUCGUGCCAGCAGCCGCGGUAAU